rnacentral:rRNA from 1 species
GACAGCAGCCGCCGCGGUAAUACAGAGGGUGCGAGCGUUAAUCGGAUUUACUGGGCGUAAAGCGUGCGUAGGCGGCUUCUUAAGUCGGAUGUGAAAUCCCUGAGCUUAACUUAGGAAUUGCAUUCGAUACUGGGAAGCUAGAGUAUGGGAGAGGAUGGUAGAAUUCCAGGUGUAGCGGUGAAAUGCGUAGAGAUCUGGAUGAAUACCGAUGGCGAAGGCAGCCAUCUGGCCUAAUACUGACGCUGAGGUACGAAAGCAUGGGGAGCAAACAGGAUUAGAUACCCCUGUAGUCCCUGUCUCUUAUAC